ACGCCCACCAGGCUUUUAUCGCCCAGGGCUCAUCUAAGAGCUAAGAUGGCGGCGUUUGCACAGGAGGCAAGUGCUAGCGGCAUACGAAGUGUGGAAAGGCUGCCAAAGGACGAAACUACUAAAGAAAGUCCAGAAACUCGCCAAUUUUUUGUGUUGUGCUGUGGAAACAUUUACCUCGUUUGAUCUAGAGAAUGCUAUAAUGGAUUGUUAUGAGAAAAUGUUCAAUAUGUACUUAAAAAGAAUGUGAAUUCUGCUGUUAUUGUGUGGAGUGUUGUAUAACCACUGAAAAGAUUUCCUUGGUUGAUGAUCUCAUUCCAUCUUCUAUACUUUUGCUGAUUUUCUGCCUGUUAAUUCUGUCUAAUACUGACAGAGAAGUGUUGAAGUCUCUAUGCCGGCUAAAGCAGCCACCCAACAGAGUGCCAUAAAAUGCUGUGAAACACCAAGGCAGAUUCAGAGUGACAGCAGUUCCCACUUUACAGAUAUUCCUGCUGUGCUCACUAUGCUAUGCUGCGACUCCAUGUCUGCUGCAGACCUACACACCAACUAAUGUCUCUGUAGGACAACCUUUGAACCUGCACUGUUAGACCAACUGCUCGACACCAGUGGGACCUGUAACCUAGACUAUGAAUGGCCGAGAAGUUUGGUCUCAGAAACAUCAAGCAACUUCUCAAUAUAAGCCUAUAUCUGAUCAAUUACACAAAACUAACUAUAAUUUCUCUAUUACCCUGCCUUCUGCUACCCUGCGUGAUGGGGGCUGGUCUGGACUUCUACAAGCUAACUUGUUAGGCCUAGGUGUUACCUUAUCUAAUGUUAUCUUUGAUGCUGUACAUGAUUUGCAAGAUCAAGUUAAUAAUAUUUCAUAUUCUAAGGGAUUAUUUGAUUGGUUACCUUGGGGUUUGGGUCCUUUAUUGCGAAAUAGUUUUGUAAUUAUUGUAGUCAUUGGAUUUGGGGUUCUUGGAUGUGUCUUGUAUACUUGUGUACCAAGUUCAUUGUCUAUACAUAUGGUGUCUUAUGGUUAAUGGAGACGGCCACGGCCGAAAAUGUCUUGACAUGAGUACAACCAUGUUUGGCUGCUCCAUUGACCUACAGCCACCAGCACAAAAAGAAAUAUAAAAGCUGCUUUCUCUGUGGUGGGAACUGGCCCUUCUCCCAUGGAGAUAGUUGGAAUGUGUUAAAAUUCCAAGGCUCUUUGGGCACCACAGCCUGGGACAUACUGGCCAUCUAUGCUGGGCUGGGACGAUAGCCAGGGUAAACAAUGCACGUACACAACUGCUGG